UUUGGCAGUGCCAAAGAUAGACUUGAAAACCAAGAAGUUUCCUUCUUUUCUUUUGUCUACUUAUUUGACCUUGUGAUCAUUGGUGUAGAGCUCAGUAGCUUUCCUUCUAGAAACCAAUAACUAGGUAGAAAGAUAAGGGAUUAAAACAGAAACAUCUCAAUGACAGUGGAGAGGCAGGUGUAGAUUAGACGAUUUCAAGACUAGCACGGAAGUCAUCAUUCCAUGUCACCGGCACUCUAUAUGACUGAAUCCAAGAUUGUGGCCAGACCUGGCUCAUGCAUUUGAUAACAGUUAAAGGAAACUUCAUCAGAGAAUUCUGCUCCAGCCUGACACUAGUCUACUGCCUUGGGCAAGAUACACAACCACUGUGGGUCUCAUUCUCUUCAUCUAUGGAGAAAGAAAUGAGUAAAUUUACAUAAAGCACUGAGCACGAUGCCUGACAUCUCAAGUCUGGUCCAAAUAAGAGCUGUAUGCAUAAUUACACCUGCCUGCCUCAGAGCAAAUAUUUACAUACAUGCACAGCCACUCCAACAGAAGGAGACUCACUAGGCCAGGGCCCUUACGGAGGUGAAACCGGAGUUUAAGUGAAAAUGUUCCCAGAUGCCGCCUCUUGUUUCUCCUACUUAGUUUGAUUCCUGGAGGCCCAGCGUAUGAGGGCCUCAUCCAAGAAGGUUCAGACUACUCUGAGACAGGAGGGAGGAGGCCAGUGACAUGGAGGCAGGAGAGCUCGCUGCAGAGGAGCAGUGGGAAGAGUUGGGUAGUGAGAGAUGAGGUCCCAGAUCUGAUGGAGAUCACCUUGGGCACUGCAAGGUCCUGCACGUGGGCACCAUGGGUGGGAGGGAGGAGGCCUCUAAAAGGCAGGCUGACAUCUAGGGCAGACAGCAGGAGACCUCCUCUGAGGCGGGGACUGCACAGAGUGUGUCAGUGGGUGACCACAGAAGCAGCGCCAAACAGCCUCAGCUGGGGCUUCGCAGGACGGAGCCGAUGGUAGAACGGGCAGGGGUUUAUCCCGUAGAGACACUGGGCUUUGUAUUUGUGAACCCUUGGCUGAAAAUAAAGAAACUCAAAAUUGUAACAGGGGUGUGUAUGACUGUGUAAGUGAGAGACACACAGAAAGAAUAUUAAUGACUAAACUGGGGUGAUUCCAUCCUGCAGAUCUGGCUAAGAGUAAUUUAAAGCACAUUGUUGUUUGUAGACAUUUCAGAACCCUCCAUGGGAUUUCUGGGAAUUUCUACAAGUCUCUGUCCUCUGGGCCUCCCCUGACUCCACAUUCCGGUUCUACUGACUGUGUCCAGUUGACAUGGUUUCCACACUGUUUCCCAGCCUGCCUGAGGUACAGUCUAGUUUAGCGUCUCAGCUGCUGUGUGAACUUGGACACAUACUGAACUUCUCUGUUUUUCUAGGGCCUAACUUACAACAUGGUGAAAAUAUUAUCGUUUACCUUAUAGGUUGCCAUUGAGUAUUGUGAGAUAAUUAUUUGAAGCACUGAUAUAUGAUAGUAUAAGAGCUUAGAACACUACUUAGUGCUUAAGUACUUUUACAUUAUUAUAAUUAUGCUAACCUGAUUGUUGUACAUUAAACCAAAGGUGUAGAGCUCCACUUCUUUUCCUUGUUUUCACUCAAAACAACCUGCCACAAAAGGCUGGGGGGGGGGGGGGGAGACUUUACUAAAGAUUAAACAUAUGGAGGGAUUUUCAUUUCAUUUGUGCCAGCAACAUACAAUUUCAGUGUAUAUAAUCUGGCCCUUAAAAGUCCCUGAGAAAAUUUCAGUUGGAACUUAAGCCUCUUCUCAUUCACCAUUCAUUCCACAUUUCUAAAUCUUCAUGAAUGCUAAGUAAUUUAGCUGUCUCUCUACCUUUAGCUUGCUGACUUGUGCUCUCAGAAUUUCACCAUCACCACCACCACCCCUCCCCCCAGCCUUUUAUCAAGAAUUCUCUUAAGCACAGCUCUUUCCUUCUCCUUCCAUCAUGUAGUAGUAGUUCCUAAUGGUUCUCCUGAGUUCUUUAAUAUUGAGAGCAAUCUGAUUGAUUGUCUUCUCAUUUGAACCAUCACUCUGGCUGCAGUUUUGCUGCCCACAUGUUUACAUCCCCGGCUGCAAAAAUAACACAGGAGAUGUGAGCCCCCGGAGAGCAGAGGUCAAGAUCUUUUUCAUUGAUAGCCCCAGCAGUCACUAGUAGGUGGCUCAAAAAUUCAUGUGCAUUUAUAAUUCAUUGUCUGUAUCUUUUCAGUAGGAAUGAAACACGUGCUUCAGGGAGAAGGCUUCGGGGAUGGUGUGCAUUCGCCAUGAGUGAGUGGAAGGAUGCAGCAUUUCUUCACUACCAUGACAUUAAAGCGAAUUCUUCUUUUCAGGCUCAGCUAGAUAGCAAAGUUGCCCCAAAGAUAUGUCUUCCACAGCAUAAUCCCAGGAACUUUUACACAUCACGAGUCCCUCUUGUUCUUCUCACUCUGCAGAUAUGCCAUCUAACUUCAUGUUAUUGUAAUAAUCUCCCUUGACAUUCGAUUUCUUCUGUGGCAUGGUAAAUAAUUUCAAUUUUCUACCAUAUUUAACAAUUUGACUACAGUUAUUCCUCUAGUGAGCUACUCCUGGGAGAAUAAAAAAAAAUGGAAGUAAUGGUUUCUAAAAGAGAAAGGUGACAUUCCCCUCUCUGCAGACUGUUAGUUUCAACUGGCAGAGGUCCCCUUUGCUGCCUGUGAAAUUUUGUUAAAAAAGUUUUUGUAAUGGAGUCUGACUCUUAUGUUUUUGAUGUUUGAUUCUGACAUUUUUUAACUUUAUCUCCACCUCUUCCCCCUCUGUCCCACAUAUGGGCAAGACAAGAACAUCCAGAGGACGUCUCCUUGGGCACCCGUGGGCAGUUUAAAUCUUGCGUGGGAACUCUUGCCCCAGCCCCAUGCCCUGUUCAUCACAAACACGCCAAGCCAAUCUUCUUGACUUUCUGAAGCCAUCACGGUGCCUGCUCGGGAGCCAUCCUGCUCUCGCCAGAAAGACUCAGUAUGAUGCCCCGGGACUUCUGACACAAGACGCUGUCCAUUUUGGCCUCAUGCUGCUUACCAUUCAAACAACAGUGACUGGCUACCCGCUGGGCUCUCUUGGAAACAGACAUUUCCAUGGUCCCUGAGCCUGUGGCCCUCCAAACUCAGCCACCACUGUGCUUGGGGUCAUAGAAGAAGCACACCACAAGCUCGGCACAGCCACCAAGGCCUCCUUAAGAGAGGAUGGAACAGGAUGGGUGACUUCCUCUGCACCUUGCCAGUGGCCAGGGCACUGGGGGAGAUCACCCUUCUCCAGCCCCCUAGACCUCCUGGGGAGCUCCUUGGGGUUCACUGAGUGAGCAAUCAUGGGGUGCUUGGACAGGAAAUGCACUGUUCAGCAUCGUGCAGGAGGGAGCGUAAUGUCAUGUUGCUCUUUUUCCAUCCCAAGCCAGAGUGGGAUCCCCAAAACAACACAUUUGACCAAACUCCAGUCAGUCAUCUUAGCUCUGGCUGCCCUGGUCAACAAAUGGUCCCAUCUUCAUGCUUAUGGGACAGUUUUGAGUCAUUUCCUAAAUAACGUCCCCUUUAAGGUAAGAACACUCACAGAUACCCAAGACACAAAUCUAAAUCACACAUGUCUUCACCUGUGCCAAGACCACCAUACAAGACCUUGCCAGACACACCUGUUUCCUUCAGAGUUCCAGAGACCACUGAGAAACUCUCUUCACUUCAGAGAGUACACAAUGCUGAGCUCUUGAAAAAAGAUAUGGUAGAACUCUCAUGUCUGUGGUAGAUCCCCAGUGACCGCUUUAACUCAAAGACACGCUGGUUUCCCUUUGCACAUUCUGGUCCAACAAGUAAACUCCCAAAUAAGCUUCUAUUUGGCCCCCGGUCUUAACCUACCUUUACAAAUUUUCAGUCUUAUCCCCACCCUACAAGGGCAGGAAACCAGAAUUGAGGUCACAUAUACUCCAUAGGAGCCCUAAACAUAGCUAUUCCACAGGCCAGGCAACGGCUCAUCUGAUAGGGGACCCAUUGAAGACCAAACUUCCACCAGAAAAGCAAACAAAUACACACAACCCUGUCAGAUGCAACUACACGCCAUUCUGUCGACGGCAGGUCUCAUUACCACAGGGUUGGGCACUUCCACUGGUGCACAGUCAGGAGGCCCACAUCCACUGAAGAGGCUUCCCACUGAAAAAGGACUCCAGUCCCACAUCCCGGAUGACUUCCACCUGACCCAAACUCUCACUGCUGGAGAAGACACUGCCCUGGAACUCAGCCCAACCCUUACCUCGCUGUUGGAGAAGACUUCGCCUACUGGGCCAGAGGCAACUUCACUUCUUACACCAAAACCUCCACCCAGUGAUGCCCACAAACUGCUUCUCCUAUGGCACAAAAUGGACACAAAACAGGCUUUUCUGCUUUUCUUCCUCAACCUGCUCUCUCUUAGGCCAUGUUCCUGGUGAACUUCUUGCUCUCCUCAAAUGUACACCCGCUCCCGCAAUCUUCCAUGCCUAAAGGAAACUCUGGUCCAGGUGGUGGAGGAUAUUAUAGUUAACAGAGAUUAUUGCUUUCCCUGGGAGGGGGGCACUCAACGCUUUCACCCCCCAGAGAGAGGACAGCCACUCCCUGAUGCUUUCUCCUGUUAUCAACCUCAGCUUUCUACUGUGACCUCCUGCGUGUGGCUUUGAACAUGAAACCAUAAACAUUCUUUCUCCUGAUGACCAGAAUCUCCAGAACUCAAACUACAACUGGCUUGCAUUUAAGAUAUGGUGCUUAGGCACCAAGGGGUGAGUUAGAGUGAAUUCUUACAGUUUUAUAUUGCCUUGGAAUCACUUUUGAGUGUAAGUUGGACGUUCUUAAAGCAGAAGAGCUCAGUUACCCUAAACACAAUUUCCAUCUCUAUACCGCCUCCAGCUUCCUCAGUUUGGUCAACCCAUCUACUUACCUUAUGCAAGUGCUUCCUGGGGACCCUCCUCCUGUGGGAUAUGCAGAUGCUACGUACCUGACUUGACUCACUUGCUUUGAAACCAGGGAUGAAUUGUGAAGCUUUGGGGCACCUUGAAGUCACAGAGUGACUCUGUGAAACGUGCCUGCUUGCUCUACGUACACCAAGUAAAAACUUGGUUGGGUUACUUCCUGGACUCCAACAAAAGCUUUAGUGCCACAGGUCCUUCCCUACCGGUUGAGUAUGCUGCUUUUCUGGUCUUCUCGCCAGCCCUUGUGGACACUCUCUUCCUCUUGGACCUGUGAGUAAUAAAAUGCUCCUGUGAUUCCCCGC